CUAGGAGGACAGCAGCAUCUUGAGCAGGCAUGUGGAGGCGAAGCUCCAGCACCAAGUGGAGGUUUCUCCUGAACUGUCUGAGAGCCUCAAUACUUAUAACCAAAGUGAUGCUCUAAUGGAGGCUCAGGGAGAAUUCAAAGACAAUCUGACAACUGAAUUAGAGAAAAAAAUAUUUCAAUCUAUGGGACCAGAUGAGAAAG